UACAGGUAUCUACAUAGGGCUGAUGCAGAUCGAAGCACCUGAGUCCACCGAGGUGCUAGCUCCUUUGCAGAUCUCACUCCUUCUAGUGUAGAUCCAAUCUCCUUCGACCGUCAUGGAAGUAGAUCUAAAGAUGGAUCUUUGUACGAAUACCUUUCGCACAGGAUCGGAGGAUGCGAGCGAUGAUCGAAGAACUCUUUCUCCUUUUCUUUUCUUUCUCUCUUGCUGACCUCUCUCUGAUCUCUCUUUUUCCUUCCUUGGUGUGGGUGACCAAGGGG
rnacentral:lncRNA from 1 species